rnacentral:ncRNA from 2 species
AUCUUAUCUAGAGUGGCAGAGGGACAGGCCCGAAGAAGCCACGACAACCGUCCCCGGAACAAAAACGGGAAACGGUGCCAAUUCCUGCCCUGGUUAUGGGGGGAGAUGAGAU